GGUGCGGUUCAAUGAUGAGAGGAACUGGUAGAGUUUCUUCUCAUUUUUCGUUUGUCUAUUGGAAUGUGAUUGUGCAACUAAGAAAUGAAGGUGAGGCAAGAAGGAUCGACCUUGAGGGAUGAUAGGGAUUGAGUAGGUGAUGCUUAUUCCAUCUAUGGAUUGUAAGAAAACCUGAUAUAAUUAAGGAAAUCAGAUGGAUUUUCUCAGUUGGGCGGGAUGUUUGGAGUAAGACAGAAUUUACGAUGCCAAGAGAUUCAGAGGAAGAGCCGGGAUCUCCAUUUUCUUGAGGAGAUGAACUCUUAAUUCAUGAAAUGCGGAAGUUAAAGACUUAAGAUCAUAUGAAGGGAGUGAAGAUGGUGGCGCAGUGAGAAAGUUACCUGUAUUGCAAAGUAGUUUUUGACCGUUUUUUGCCGUGACGUCGUCGGCGUAGGUGCGAACGCAACGUUACGAAUGCGGAAGUGGUCUGGAGGCCCGGUGAGGGCGAGUAGCGUUUUGAUAUGAGUCCUUGAAUAAUUGGAAAUGUUUAUUUUAAUGUUGGUGUAAUGAAACGAGAUGUCUCGCUGGCUGAGUGCGUGUCUCAGGUGAGAAACUGUCCGGUCGGAAGUGUUCGGAGCAGUGGGACUGUCGGGAGUGUAGACAGGAUGACUUCGGGUCGCGGACACUUCACGUGCUGUUCGAGCGCCUGGAUUUCUAGCGGGUCGGGAAGAGGCGAGAAGGACGGGCGACAUCUGUUGUACGCCCGAAGAAGAAAUUUUCCUCGAGGCUGCUGAUGUGUGGAGGCCGACCACGUUUGAAACUGUUGGAGGGAGAAAGCCGAGAGACCCGGGGAACGGUGAUUGCUAAGCGCAUCCGAGGUUGCUGAUGGGCGUUAGGAGAUGGAGAGGACUUAGAAGCUUCAGGGGUUUCCUGAUCGUCCCCGGACAGAUCUGAAGCAUAAGGCGCUGUAUCAAGGCAUCUAAAGCUCAACCUGGCAGAGACUCAUCUUGUCAGGGGAAAGAAUUCCUGUGCAGUCAGUCACCGUCCAUCACAAUGAUGUUGCACUUGUCAUCUCCAACCUGCUUCUGCCCCCAGACCAAAAUAGCUAACACAGCACACUGCUGCCUGUUUUGGUGCUCAAUCUCCCAAAGUUUUCCCACGUUUAUAUAUGUACUUUAAUGCUCAAUUGUACAACCUAUUUUGAUAGUGCUGUGUUUACCUAAGCUCAUGUCUGAAUUUGGUGAUGUAUAUUUGCUCCUAUGUGCAGUAUUGCAUUAAAUUUUCUAAAAUUUCA